GACGAACGCUGGCGGCGUGCUUAACACAUGCAAGUCGAACGGUGAACCCCUUCGGUGGUGAUCAGUUCCAAAGGGGAAAGUAACACUUAGGCAACCGGACCCUGCCCUUGGGUUAACUCUAAGUUAUUGGGACUAGUACUGGUAGCGGACCGCAUCUCCCACUGGUUGUGGUGAGAUGGAUCGGUGCCGGGGGAUGGGCUCGCGGCCUAUCAGCUUGUUGGUGGGGUAGUGGCUUACCAAGGCGACGACGGGUAGCCGGCCUGAGAGGGUGACCGGCCACACUGGGACUGAGACACGGCCCAGACUCCUACGGGAGGCAGCAGUGGGGAAUAUUGCACAAUGGGCGGAAGCCUGAUGCAGCAACGCCGCGUGCGGGAUGACGGCCUUCGGGUUGUAAACCGCUUUCGCCGGGGACGAAGCGCGAGUGACGGUAACGGCUAAAGAAGCACCGGCUAACUACGUG
rnacentral:rRNA from 1 species